AAAAUACUUUUCCGCCGCCGCAAGCUUCCGUUUCCGCGAGAUCUCAUCUGGAGACCCUUCCCGGCGCCCUGCCGGAGGGGACUUUGGAGUUGGAGGGCUUCUUCAUCAUCAUCAUCGCCCCUCCAAUGACUCGUGAGUAGUUCAGUUUAGACCUACGGGUCCGUAGUUAGUAGCUAGAUGGCUUCUUCUCUCUCUUGGAUCUUCAAUACAAAGUUCUCCAUGAUCUUCAUGGAGAUCUAUCCGAU
rnacentral:lncRNA from 1 species